UCCCAGAGUUUUGCAUGAACACAUAAUCAUCAAUAUAUUUUUUACUUCAGUGAAGUGGCUCAGUCCUGUCUGACUCUUUGCAACCCCGUGGACCGUAGCCUACCAGGCUUCUCCGUCCAUGGGAUUCUCCAGGCAAGAGUACUGGAGUGGGUUACCAUUUCCUUCUGCAGGAGAUCUUCCCGACCCAGGGAUUGAGCCCGGGUCUCCCGCAUUGGAGGCAGACGCUUCUAACCUCUGAGCCACCAGGGAAGCCCACAUUUUAUCUUAGUAUUGUUUAAAAAAUUGCAACAUUUUUGUAUGUCACCAGAUUGUUAAGCAAAUUAUUUAGAAUAAAUGCUAAAUGCCUUGGGUACUUACAUAAAUGAAAAGAAACAAUUACUUUAGAUUUUGUUUUAUUUUGAUAUACAAUGUAGAUUCUGUUUUCAAUAAAAAUAUGAAAUAAAAAUCAAGAUAUUCUAUAGUGCAAAAUGUUUGCUUUAAAUUGAGUGUACAUUUUUCCCCUUUAAAAUAUAUUUGCAAAAAAAAUGUCAUGUAAGAUUUAUACACCUCAAUUAUAUUUGUAAUGAAUUAAUUAUUCAGGUAAAUAAAAUGUAUUUUACACUCACAUUAACAAAUACUGGAAUCCAAUGGAAAUUUAGAGUAUAUCUAAAUACACGGACAUAAUAAAUAAAACAAGAGAAUGAGUGAACAUAAUGAAGCAGCAGAAAAUGUAUUAUCUCAACAAGAAAUGUUGAAUUUUGUCUUUUGAAACCUGUUCCAAAGUGGUAAGCUUUUUGUAUUCAUCAGGAGUGUGUGUUUUCACAUUUUCAUGUCAUUCAGCAGUCUUUGACAAGUUCUUUGUGGCUAAGGAAAUUUAAAACUGCUUUGAAAUUCUCUGAGCAACUCACAGAUCCCAUCAAAAUAUACUGCCAUAGUAUCAAGAAAUGUUGAAGAAUUAUACCUUCAAAGCUGUGCCAAGAAACCUAGCCAGCAUCUUUCUCUCUUUCAUUAUCAAGCAGAGUUCUAUACCGCCUGCCUUUGGGCUAGGCAAUCCCAUAGAUAUUUCCCAUACAAUUGCAUACUGCCAAAGUUUUUAGACCAGAAAACACUUUUCUCACUCUGGGGAAGAAACAUGGUGUAAGCAGAAAAAGUAGUAUGCAAAAGCAAAACUGUCUCUGCCAUUAACCAACAAAUGAUGAAACUCUCCGGCAUUUGGUCUUUAUAUCCAGAAAAUAAUGGGAGUGUAUUGUAGCAUCUCUGGUGUCUCAUAGAGCACUCAAAGUAUGAGUCUUCCUUUCCAGUCAGUGAAAUGUCCAGUUCUCACAUAUGACCAGAAUUUGACUAUAUUACACAAAUCUCAUACAACCGUUCUUUGAGCUAAACAGUCUGUUAAAAGGAGCAAAUUUUGGGGUGGCUGAGAAGUCUGGAAGGGAAGAAGGGAGGGUUCAUAGGAAGCUGCUUCCGGACAUCUUGAAUUGUCCAGGUUCCUCAA
ensembl:lncRNA